CCACCCAGGUCCCUGGCACCACCUUACCUUUUGCCCUUGAGGUGGAUGUCUUGCUCACCUCACCCUGUCCUCUGCCCUGAUGGGGCAGCACCACGUUGGCACCUGUGACUCGAGGGUUCCACGGUGGCCCUGGAGCGCCUGGUGGGGGACACUGUGCCACUGGAAAGGAGGACUGUGUACGGUACAGCAGAGGGUGCCCGAGAGAACCGUGGCCGUACCCAGACGGAUGCGGUGGAUGCACCAGCGCCCAAGAUACACUGGAGAUGGAUGAGAAGCGGUGGGCAAACGAAAGGCAAACAUCCGCGGAUGCCAUGGGCCAGCGGCACUCUGGCCUGGGCAGGACCCGCCCAGCCGUCCGUAUCUGGUCUGCAAGGAGCCCUCUCAGACUGAGGCAGACGGCACUGACCUUGCCUUGAACUUCACAUCCCGCCGGCGCUCUCCAUGGCCCUCAGGUGCACCCUCAUGCCCGACUCACUCCUUCGUAAGGUUCAGCUGCUUUGACCCCUGUGCACCCAGAGCUGAUGGGGACUCUAUUUGUCAGAAUCAACUUGAAGUGAGUGAGCGAACUUAACAGGUGUUUAUUUGAAGAAAUCCGCACCCUGAGGGAUGCCUGGGGGGCUCAGUUGGUUGAGUGUCUG